AUGGGUCGGCAGCUUGGCGUUUCGAUGGGGUACGAUGCAGUUCGUCAUUUAGUUGUCAGCACAGCUGAGUCUGGUCGCAAAGAGCUCAAGAAAGCUUUGGAGCAAAAAUUGUGCUACCUGAAAAUGGAUGCGGCAACCCGUGGAAACAGAAAUUUCCUUGCAAUCAAUGCUCAGUACUACGAAGAAGGAAAAGAUAAAGCUGUGGUAAAAACCUUGGAUAUAAUUGACACUGAAGGGCGUCACAAUUCUUUGUAUGUGAAAAAUCAAGUGAAAGCUAUUUUAGAAAAAUUUGGGAUCAGUGAAAUGCAAGUGCUAAGCAUCUGCGUUGACAACGCAGCAAACAUGACGUGUGCCGUCAAAAAUUUCAGCGAGGACAAUGAAACCAUUUCCACCUCUGAGAACAGGGAUGUGGACAGAACUGAAGCUAUGUUGCCUGAGGAAGGAACUAAAGAAAUGAAUGAAAUCGAACUCAACAUGGAUGCUGCUGCGCAGUGGGUUAAUGACCCUAGCCUCAUACUUCCAACAUGGCUUCAUGAGGAUGACUCAAAAGUCCAGCUGAUGAGGUGUGGUAUUCACACUCUUCAGUUGGCAAUCUGGGAUGGACUGAAUGAAGAACAUGCGAAGAAAUUUCUGGCAAAAAUUCGACAAGUGGUUGUCAAACUACGAACCCCAAGUAUUCGAAGUGUUCUGUUUGAUCUACAUGGGGUAACUCAGUCAUUGGAUACUGAGACUCGCUGGGGUUCCACAUUUGCGAUGGUUGAUCGGCUUCUCGUUUUUCAGUCUUACUGUGAACAAGUGGCGGCUGCUGGAACAAGAGAACUCAAGUUAACAAAAGCUGAAUGGGACGAAGUGAAGAACCUGCGAGACCUCUUGGCAAAGCCAAACCAAACAACCGUGAAUCUUCAAGCUGACAAUGUAACCCCGGGAGUUUUAAUGAAGGAAUGGCGAAAACUGUCAAAAUUCUUGCAAGAAAGUGGUGGACAAAUUGCAGAAGGAAUUCUAUCCUCCAUGCAGAAACAUGAAGAGAAGCUUUUUGACAAUAUUCAUUUCCUUGCUGGAGUUUAUGUUGACCCACGGUAUCGGAUUCUUCUUACCUCAAGGGAAAUACCAAAGGCAAAGGAAGGGCUCCUUGAUAUUGCUCGACGACUCGAAAAACAAAAUCUAUUGCUACAUUUGAACUCGGCGAAAGAGGUAGAAGAAAACAAAACACAACAAAAGGAGUCAUCAACAAUCGAAUUUGCGGUUUCGGAAAGUUCACAUCCUUCAGAAAUAGCAGGCUUUUCUCAAACUUCAGUCUCCACUCUGAACUUGUUCGAGCGUCCAUCCCUGAGACGUCUUCAACCAUCACGGGGAAAUGGAGAUAAUUCAAGCAUCAAUUCUUCAGAAGAUGACGACUUCGAAAAGGAAUUGGAUAAACAAGAAAGACGCCGGCGCGUUUCUGCGAUUCAUAAUUGUAAUGAAGCAUUAUUCGAGAGAAACUUUCGGGAAGAUUGUGAGGCGAUGGAGUCUAUUGGGAGGCUAAAAGUUAAGUGUGUUUUUGAGGCCAUUCACAGCUACCCACGCCGCAUUCAGGCUGCCUGUAGAAUUGCUUCGAGCAUGCCAACAACGCAAGCUAGUGUAGAGCGACUGGUUUCGGCUUUAAAAUUCAUUUUAAAUGAUUUGCGGCAGGCUAUGAAAGACGACUUGAUUGCUGCAAUAAUUUUUUACAGAAUGAAUUAUGAAUGA
rnacentral:lncRNA from 1 species